rnacentral:tRNA from 1 species
GUCUGGGUGGCUGUUGGUUAAGCGUCUGACUUAGGCUCAGGUCAUGCUCUCACUGCUCACGGGUUCGAGCCCCGUGUCAGGCU